rnacentral:rRNA from 1 species
AGCGAACGUUAGCGGCGGGCCUAACACAUGCAAGUCGAGCGAGAAAGGGGCUUCGGCCCUGAGUAAAGCGGCGGACGGGUGAGUAACACGUAGGUAAUCUUCCUUCGAGCGGGGGACAACGGUCCGAAAGGACCGCUAAUACCGCGUACGUUCCCGAGGACCCUGGUCCUUGGGAGGAAAGCUAGGUCGCAAGAUCCGGCACCCGGAGAGGAGCCUGCGUCGCAUCAGCUAGUUGGUGGGGUAAUGGCCUACCAAGGCGAAGACGCGUAGCUGGUCUGAGAGGAUGAUCAGCCACACUGGGACUGAGACACGGCCCAGACUCCUACGGGAGGCAGCAGUGGGAAUAUUGGACAAUGGGCGCAAGCCUGAUCCAGCCACGCCGCGUGAGUGAUGAAGGCCUUCGGGUCGUAAAGCUCUGUGGGGAGGGACGAACCGCUGCACGUGCAUAGCGUGCAGCGUGACGGUACCUCCUUAGCAAGCACCGGCUAACUUCGUGCCAGCCGCCGCAGUAA